GCAAACUUGGUCAUUUAGAGGAAGUAAAAGUCGUAACAAGGUUUCCGUAGGUGAACCUGCGGAAGGAUCAUUACAGGAUGGUACCCCCUCCGGGGGUAGACCCCUCCAACCCUCUGUCAACGUUGAAUCCAGUUGCUUCGGCGGGACGUGAGAGUCUUUGGACUCCCCCAUCGGCCCCUCGAUGGGGGUUGAUGUGUGCCUGUCGAGGGAUACACCAACCCUGAAUAAGUGUCGUCUGAAUACUAUUUGAAUCUUCAAAACUUUCAACAACGGAUCUCUUGGUUCUGGCAUCGAUGAAGAACGCAGC
rnacentral:misc_RNA from 1 species